CUCUGUUGAACAAAAAAGAAGAUAUUUGGAGAAAUGUCUUGUCAAUGGCCAUCGGUUUUGUUCCCAACAUUCUUCAAAAUGACUUUCUUUUUGUUUAACAGAAAAGAGGAAGUCAUACGAGUUUGGAAAGUAAAAUAAUGACAUUUUGGGGUGAAGCAUCACUUUAGAGCCCAAAAUUCAGAUCUUUGCUCCUAUUGUUUCAGUGGAAUAAAAGCAUCCAUAUGCUCCAUCAGCGUGAUGCUGAUCAGUGUGUUUGUGAAAUCCAUCAUUAAGUGCGGUCAGAGCCGUACACCUGCUGUACAGUGACACAACAGCCCUCAGCAACGCUGUCAACACUUCACAACAUCACGGAGACACUUUGUGUGUGUGUGUGUGUGUGUGUGUGUGUGUGUGUUUGUGUGUGUGUGUGUGUGUGAGGAGCUGUAUUCUUCAGCUGUCACACACACACACACACAAACACACACUCACACACACACACACGAUGAAAUCCUUUGGGUGACAUAGAGUGCUAAUUUAUUUGUGUGUUGAAUUCAAAACCAUAAUUAUUCUCUUUUUGUAAUUUAGGAUAUUUUUUUAUUUAUUUUUUUUUUGGUGUGAAGACUCAUUUCAGAUUAGGACAGUUGUUAAAUUGUGAAAAAUUACGAGAGAAACUAAUUAUUUUUUCAUUAUGAUAUGUGUUUUUACAGCACAAACUAAUUUUUCAAAUGAUAAUUUUAGAUCCUAUCUGUCCAAUCGUUACCACUUUGUUUAUUUAAACGGGGAGUCAUCUCAGUUAUCACCAGUACAGUAUGGAGUGCCACAAGGAUCUGUCCUAGGUCCUCUGCUAUUUUCAAUAUGUUGCCCCUUGGUAAUAUCAUUAGAAAAUACGGGAUUAGUUUCCACUGUUAUGCUGAUGAUACUCAACUAUAUAUCUCAACAAGACCAGGUGAAACUUCUAAAUUAUGAUUUUCAAAAUUAAUUCAGUCCAUUUCUUUGUAAUCAUUUGUGAAAUAUCUUAUCUUAAUAAAUGAGUGAUGCGUGUGUUUCUGUCUCUCCAGGAGGAGUUUCAGUUUGGUCUCCGUCUGAUCUUCAGUAAAGUGCAGCAUGAGCUUCAACACCUUCACCUGCUGCUCGACAGAAACAAAAGAGCAGAGGUGAGCCAGAAAUAGCCGCGCGAGAGCGCUUCCUCUUGGCCGAUCAAAGGCGCGGCUGUGCAGCGCAGAUAAGAAUCGCACCGCACUGCCGUCUGCGUCUGCGCUGGCUGCAGCAGAGCCGAUUACCUUCUUAUUGUCUCACUUUUUUUCCUCCAGGGUCUGCGAUGUAGAUUGUUUCUGUGCAAAAGUAAUUAGAUUCAACUUGAUUCUUCACCAGAUACGCAGUGAUGAAGGUGUGAACGUCUCUUUGCAUUCCAAAGCG
ensembl:lncRNA